AUUGAACGCUGGCGGCAUGCCUUACACAUGCAAGUCGAACGGUAACAGGCUAAGCUGACGAGUGGCGAACGGGUGAGUAAUGUAUCGGAACGUGCCCAGUCGUGGGGGAGAACUACUCGAAAGAGUGGCUAAUACCGCAUACGACCUGAGGGUGAAAGCGGGGGACCGUAAGGCCUCGCGCGAUUGGAGCGGCCGAUAUCAGAUUAGCUAGUUGGUGGGGUAAAAGCCCACCAAGGCGACGAUCUGUAGCUGGUCUGAGAGGACGACCAGCCACACGGGGACUGAGACACGGCCCAGACUCAUACGGGAGGCAGCAGUGGGGAAUUUUGGACAAUGGACGCAAGUCUGAUCCAGCCAUGCCGCGUGCGGGAAGAAGGCCUUCGGGUUGUAAACCGCUUUUGUCAGGGAAGAAACGAGUUUCUCUAAUACAGAGACUUAAUGACGGUACCUGAAGAAUAAGCACCGGCUAACUACGUGCCAGCAGCCGCCGUAACAC
rnacentral:rRNA from 1 species